rnacentral:misc_RNA from 1 species
GAAAGUCUGACGUAUUCAAUUUAAACCUUAAUUUCAUCAAAAUAUAUUGAGUAUGUUAGCGGUUACGUAUAAAAGUGGCAACAUUGCCUGUCGCUUGUUUAGGUUGCGGUGUUGCAGAUACUCGAUGAACGAGUAUCACAGUGUAUCUUCGUUUCUGGCAUUUAUCAUAAAUAUGAAGUAUUUUUGUAAAACAAAGAGCAUGUUCAUCACUGAUUGAAGAUUGUCUGCAUUAUAACAUAACGUUAAAGAUUAUUAAAUGAGUAAUUUAUGACAUUGUCUUAUGUGUUAUACAUUUUAUGAAAUGGAAACUUUAAGAAGUGAUACAUUACAUACUUCUGAGUCUGUGCAUUCUUUGCCUUGUAUUAACACACACCAUACUGAUGAAUUAUCAAAAGAAAAAGAAGAAGAGCUAUUAUAUGGUACAGGUGAUGAUGGUGAUGAAGAAGAUGCUCUUUCAGAUGAUAGUAUGCGUUUGAGACUUUCUGAUGAUGAUGAAAUUGAGACAGAAGAUAUUUUAACAUCUGUUUUAAAUAAUCAGAAAAAUGAAUUAAAAACUAAUAAAAUUGAAACAACAUCUGAAGAUAUGGAAAUUUCUCCAGAAAAAAAUAUUAAAAAUGAUACAAAUACAAAAAAAAUAAAUCAAGAAGAACAAUGUUCAGAUAAUGAUUCCAUGGAUGAAAAAAUAGUAAUUGAUUAUGAAAGGAUUAUUAAAAAAGGUGAAAAUGAAAAUGAACUGAUGAAACAUCAAACAAUUAAUACACCUCGUUUAUGGCCAAAUUAUGAAUUACAUUGGAGAUAUCCUAGAAGUCCUAAUGGUCGUCCUUUUCGUAGUAUCAGUCAUACUUAUAAUAGGUUUAGACCUAGAGGACGUUAUAGACUUCAGUCAUAUGAUUUUAGGUUUCAUAAUACAUUUCUUCCUUUUGAACGUGGAAGAGGUAAUGGAACAUAUAAUUCAUAUAAUAGAUCAAUUUAUGGUAAUAGACAACAAAAGAAAAAUUUUAAGUCUAAUGCAAUGCAAAGACAAAAUAGUCCAAUUAAAUUUGAUCAAAAUUUGGAACCAUCAUUAUAUAAAAAUGUAUUUUCAAAAACUCAAGUUGAUAAUGAUGUCAAAAUUAUAAAAAUUGAAGAUCAUGAGACAAUAAAUGAAGAUAAUACAUUAUGUAAUGAAUCUUCAAUUAACAUUAAUAAGAAUGAUUCAAAUCAAUCAUUGAAUAAAGAAGUAGGUGAUAUUAUUGUUAAGGAUUCUAAAGAGGAAAAUUUUGUUAAUUCUGUUGAUAAUUCAUUAGAAUUAAAGCAUAAAUUGGAAGAAAAUAUGAAAAUAAUACAAUGUAAAGAUAAGAAUAAAGAUAUUUUAAUUCAUACAUCAAAUGAUAAUUCUGUUGUAAAACUUACAAAUUCUACAAUUAAUUCUCAUGAUAAUAAUUCAGAUAACAUUAAGUUAAUUGAAAACAGUAUAAAUAAUGCAGAUGUUGAUUCUAAUAAUUUUUCUGUUUCUAACAAUUCUAAAAUAAUAGAAUCAUUAAACAUUAAUGUAACAUAUAAACAUAAUGAAUAUAAAAAUAUAGAACAUACUAAAGAAAAUAAUGUAAUUAAUCAAAAACAAGAAGAAAUAGUUAAAAUAACUAAUAUAAAUGAAAGUGGAGAAAUUAAACAAAUUAAUAAGUUAGAAAAGCAAAAUUCAAAUAAAAAUCAAGAAUUAACAUAUGUUAAUCAAGACAUAGAAAACAAUUAUAGGAUAACUGAUUUAGAUAUUUUAAAUGAAAAAGAGAUGAUAAACAAUGAAUCAAUAAUAAAUAAAGAAAUAACAAAUCAUAAAACUAAUGAAAUUCUUACAAAUAAAGAAGAAAUUUUUUUAGAAAAUAUAAAAUUAAAUAAAGAAAUCAUAAAAACAAUUACUGUAUCAAAUGAAAAUGAUAAUGAAAUCAACGUUAUACAAAAUGUUACCACAGAAAAAUCAGUUAAUAACAGCGAAAAAUGUGAUAAUCAAAUAUUAAAAACUAAUAUUAAUAGUACAAAUUCUAUUAAAAUUAAUGAAUUUAUUUCUUCUGAAGAUCAAGUAAUCCAAAAUAAAAUUGAUCUUUUGAAACAAAAUGAAAAUGAAAACGAUAUAAAAUCUAUACCAAAAGAAAAUUCUGUAAUAAGUUCUACAAGUAUAACAGCAAAUUUAAAUGAAAACAUUAAGUUAAUAUUAAAUGAAAAUAGUUUAUCCAAUACAAAAUUACAAAAUGAUUCCUUGGAUUUUAAAGAAAAAGAUACUAGUGGUGAUAGUGAUAAAAUAAUUACUGAACCUAUAAUUACCCAAAAAAAAAAGAGGCGAACGAAAAAAAUGAUUACCAUUGCACAAGGAAUUAUUUCUGAAGAAGAUAAACAAGUUAAAGAAAGUGGAAGACAAAAAAGACGAACAGCUAAGAAUGCAGAAGAAAUAAUAAGAAAGAAAUUUCUUAAUUAUGAUAGUGAUUUAGAAUCUAGUGAUGGUUCAGAAAAAUUUGUGGUUGUAAAUUACAAAAUGAAUCAAGAUGCAUGUCCUUUAUCACCACCUUCAUUAAAACGAACUUAUUCUGAUACUAAUAGUACUAUUCUGAAUGGUAAUAUUAAAAAAAUUAAAAUAAAUUCUGAAGCAUGUGAUGAAUUAAAAACACAAGAAAAUAAUUCUGAAAACAUUAAAAAACUUAAUUAUGUUCAUAAAUUUUUCCAAAGAGAUUUAAAUGAAAAACUGCCAAAAUUAAAACAAGAAGAAUUAGAAGAACUUUUGAUACAAAAAAUUGUCGAAACAAUUACUAUGCGUGACGAAAUUGGCAAAUUAAGAGAACAGGCACGUAUAUCAGAAAAAAAUCAAGAAGUAAUGCGUGCAAAAUGUCAACAAUUGGCUAAACAAAUUAAGGAUUUUGAAAUGGUAUUAAGUCGUAAUGCUGCAGAUCGACGUGCUAAUAAUGACAAAUCCACUCCACCAAUUAAAAUCAAUAGAUCUGUUGGAUUGCAAGUUAAUUUUAUGACGGAUCAUGGCAUGCAGAAUUUACGACAAUUACAACAGAAUUCUAAUUUGAAGUCUUUACAUCUUUCAAGUAAUAAUAAUAAUACAUCAAAUACUUCUAUUAAUGAAACAAAUAAUGCAGCCAGUCCCAGAAAAGGAAUUAAAGUAAGAUCUCCCAGGAGAACUGAAUCAAUAAUUGGACAAAAUUCUGUGAUAUCACAAAAUCACACUCAGUCUCCAAAUAUUAUGACUACUAUCACUCCUGCAGCUUUAGUUGUUGCUAAACCUGUAGAUACACAGCAUUCUUUGACAUUACCAAAUCAAUCUAAUGUUCAACAAAUUAUGUCAAAUCAACAAAUGCAAUCACAACAAUCACAGCAAGCUAUAGUUUUAAAUGGAAAAUUUCCAAAUCAAAUAAGUCGUCAAGGAUCUACUACAACAAAUAUUGUAAAAUCUCAUACAAAUGAUCUUAUUGAUCUUACAGAUGAAGAAGAAAAAAGCAAAGCAACUGGUGUACCAGUUGUAACUACUACAAUAACUGAUCAACAAUUAAAUAUAGCACAAAAAACACAACAACCUUGUUUCCAAAGGGUAAUUCAGACCAUUCCUGGGAAUGUAGCUAUAACAAGUCAACCUCCUAGUAUAAGAGUAGUACAACCUGCCAGUCAACCAACACCUACUGCCUUAGUGAAUAACAUGAACGCGCCUCGAUUAACAUACGUGAUGCAAAGUGGUGUAGGACCAACAAGACAAUUAUUAAUAGCUCCAAAUUCCAGUCCGAUACGGCCAGUAACUUCAUGUAGAGCUUCAUUUUCAACUUUAACGUACAAAACGGGUAAGCAAUUUUAAUAAUAUAAAUUAUAUAAAAAUAUAAUAUAAUCAUAUUAUUUAUAGGAAUAUCAACUAUUGCAAAUGGAACAGUUCGAGUUUUAACAACUCCAGCUACUUCAAGUGUACAAUUAAAUAAGCAUCCUGCACCUUUACCAGAUAUACAUAAUUAUGCUGUAAAUCCUCUUUUGAAACUUCCACCACCA